AACUCACUACGGGGGGCAGCAGUGGGGAAUAUUGCGCAAUGGGCGAAAGCCUGACGCAGCGACGCCGCGUGAGGGAUGAAGGUCUUCGGAUCGUAGACCUCUGUCAGCAGGGAAGAACGGUCACUGUGCUAAUCAGCAGUGAAUUGACGGUACCUGCAAAGGAAGCACCGGCUAACUCCGUGCCAGCAGCCGCGGUAAUACGGAGGGUGCGAGCGUUAAUCGGAAUUACUGGGCGUAUAGCGCUCGUAGGCGGUAUGUCAAGUCAAGGGUGAGAU
rnacentral:rRNA from 1 species